GUGGGGUAAUACUAUGAGGUGUUGGGUCCUGUGGGGUAAUACUAUGAGGUGGGGUAAUACUAUGAGGUGUUGGGUCGUGUGGGGUAAUACUAUGAGGUGUUGGGUCCUGUGGGGUAAUACUAUGAGGUGUUGGGUCCUGUGAGGUAAUACUAUGAGGUGUUGGGUCCUGUGGGGUAAUACUAUGAGGUGGGGUAAUACUAUGAGGUGUUGGGUCCUGUGAGGUAAUACUAUGAGGUGGGGUAAUACUAUGAGGUGUUGGGUCCUGUGGGGUAAUACUAUGAGGUGGGGUAAUACUAUGAGGUGUUGGGUCCUGUGGGGUAGUACUAUGAGGUGGGGUAAUACUAUGAGGUGUUGGGUCCUGUGGGGUAAUACUAUGAGGUGUUGGGUCCUGUGAGGUAAUACUAUGAGGUGGGGUAAUACUAUGAGGUGUUGGGUCCUGUGGGGUAAUACUAUGAGGUGUUGGUCCUGUGGGGUAAUACUAUGAGGUGUUGGUCCUGUGGGGUAAUACUAUGAGGUGUUGGGUCCUGUGGGGUAAUACUAUGAGGUGUUGGGUCCUGUGAGGUAAUACUAUGAGGUGGGGUAAUACUAUGAGGUGUUGGGUCCUGUGGGGUAAUACUAUGAGGUGUUGGGUCCUGUGAGGUAAUACUAUGAGGUGUUGGGUCCUGUGGGGUAAUACUAUGAGGUGGGGUAAUAUUAUGAGGUGUUGGGUCCUGUGGGGUAAUACUAUGAGGUGUUGGGUCCUGUGGGGUAAUACUAUGAGGUGUUGGUCCUGUGGGGUAAUACUAUGAGGUGUUGGUCCUGUGGGGUAAUACUAUGAGGUGUUGGGUCCUGUGAGGUAAUACUAUGAGGUGUUGGGUCCUGUGGGGUAAUACUAUGAGGUGUUGGGUCCUGUGGGGUAAUACUAUGAGGUGGGGUAAUACUAUG
ensembl:lncRNA